rnacentral:lncRNA from 1 species
UUUUUUUUUUUUUUGCAGUAAAUAAUCAGACUCUAGAUUCCUUUAAAAGCAAUUGCUUUUCCCUCCCAAUGUUAUCACUGUGUUUUAAAACAAAAUAUUAGCAAACGAAGUCCAGUGACAUAUAUAAAGUAGUACCACCAUGAUUAAGUGGGAUUUACCCCAGAAUGCAAGACUGGCUUAACGUCUGAAAAUCAAUUAAAUUAAUGCAGCAGGUCAGUAGAAUAAAAAAGAAAACCACAUAAUUAUCUCAAUAUACAAAGAAAAAGCAUUUGACAAAAUCCAGCACCCUUUCAUGAGGAAACACUCAACAAACUAGAAGUAGAAGGAAACAAUCUCAGCAUAAUAAAAGCUAUAUAUGAAAAAGCCACAGCAAACAUCACACUUAAUGGUGAAAGAGUGGAUGCUUUCCUCCUAUGAUCAGGAAUAAAACGAGGCUGCUAUGGUCACUUCUAUUUAACACUGUACUACAGGUUCUAGGCAGGGCAAUUAGGCAAGGAAAAUAAACAAAAGGCAUCUAGGUUGGCAAGAAAGAAAUAAAACUAUCUCUAUUCACAGAUAACAUAAUCUUGCAUAUUAAAAAAAUCCUAGGAAAUACAGUAAAAAAUUACAAGAAGUUAGUAAACAAGUUCAGCAAGGCUGUAGGUUACAAGAGCAGUAUAUAAAAUUCAAUUUUGUUCCUAUACGUUUGUAUUCAAACAAUCCAAAUAUGAAACUAGGAAAACAACUCCAUUUACAGUAGCACCAAAAAGAGUAAAAUAUUUAGAUAUCAAUUCAGCAAAAGAAGUGCAAGGCUUGUACUCUGAAAAGUAGGAAACAGUGCUGAAAGAAAUUAAAUAAGAUCUAAAUGAAUGGAGACAUCCCAUGUUCAUGGGUUGAAAGACUUAGUGUUAAGAUGUUAAUACUUUCCAAAUUUGCCUACAGAUUCAAUGCAAUCCCUAUUAGGAUCCCAGCUGACUUUCUUGUAGAAAUUGACAAAGUGAUUCUAGAAUUCAUAUAUAGGAUUUCCCUGCUGGCUCAGCAGGUUAAGGAUCGGGCCUUGUCCCUGCUGUGGCUUGGGUCACUGCUGUGGCACGAGUUCAAUCCCUAGCCCUAGAACUUCCAUGGGUGCAGCCAAAAAGUUAAAAAAAAAAUUUUUUUUUUUGUUUUUUUAGGGCUGCACUAGUGGUAUAUGGAAGUUCCCAGGCUAGGGGUCGAAUUGGAGCUGUAGCUGCCAGCCUACACCACAGCCACAGCAACUCGGGAUCCAAGCCACAUCUGUGACCUAUACUGCAGCUCAUGGCAACACCAGAUCCUUAACCUACUGAACGAGGCCAGGGAUUGAACCCAUGUCCUCACAGAUACUAGCUGGGUUUGUUACCGCUGAGCCACAAUGGGAACUCCAAAAAAUAAAAAUUAAAAAAUUGUUUUAAAAUAAAGCCAGGUGUCUAUGUUUAAAUGAUAUCUGACAAGGAUGCAAGACCAUAUAAUGAGGAAAGAAUAGUCUUUUCAACAAAGAGAACUGAGAUGACUAGAUUGCCAAAUGUAAAAGAAUGAAACUGGACGUUUACCUCACACCCUAUACAAAAAUUAACUCAAAAUGGACCAAAAACCUAAAUGUAAGAGCUAAAACUACAACAUUCUUAGAAGAAAAGAUAGAUGAAAAACUUCAUGACCGUGGAUUUGGCAAUGAUUUCUUGGACAUGACACCAAAAGCACAGCAACAAAAGGGGGGAAAAAAGUAAACUGAAUUUCAUCAAAAUUUAAAACCUUUGUGGAAUUCCCUAGUGGCGCAGUGGGUUAAGGAUCUGGUGUUGUCACUGCAAUGGCUCAGGUUGCUGCUAUGAUGCAUGUUCGAUUCCUAGCCCUUGAACUUCACAUGCCACAGGCACAGGCAAAAAAAAAAAAAAAAAAAAAAAUCAAAACUUUUAUGUUGCAAAGGACUACCAAAAAAGUGAAAGGACAUCCAAAGAAUGGGAGAAAAUGUUGGCAAAUCACACAUCUGGUAAAGAAUUUGGAUCUAGAAUACAAAAGAACUCUUGGUAACUUAAUAAUAAAAAGACAACCCAAUUCAAAAAGAAGCAAAGGAUUGAACAGACCUUUUCCCAAAGAAGAUAUGAGAGACCAGUAAGCCCAUGAAUAGAUGCUCAGCAUCAUCAGUCAUCAAGGAAGUGCAAAUCAAAACCAGAAGAUAACACUUCACACCCACUAGAAUGGCUAUCAUCAAAAAGUCAGCUUAUAAUUAUUAGAGAAAAUGUGGAGAAACCAGACUCUCACAUACUGCUGGUGGAAAUGUAAUUUGGUUAGGCCAAUUUGGAAACAACCUGACAAUUCCUCAAAAAGUGGAACAUAGAGUUAACAUUUGACCUAGCAAUUCUUCUCUUAGGUAUGUAUCCAAGAGAAAUGAAAACAUAUGUCUAUACAAAAACGACUACAUAUACAGUUAUAGAAGCAUUAUUCACAAUACUCUAACAAUACAAAGAAUUCAGAUGUCCAUCACAAAGGGAAUCAUCAAAAUGUGGAAUAUCUAUAUAAGGAAGUAUUACUCAUCCAUAAAUUGGAAUGAAGUACUGAUCCAGGCUGUAUAACAUGGAUCAAGCUCAAAAACAGUAAGUAAAAGAAGACAGACCAAAAACAAAGGCCACAUAUUCUAAGAUUCAACUGACAUGAAUUUCCUACAAUAGGCAAAUAUAUAGAGACAGGAAGUAGAUUCGUGUUGCUCAGCACCGGGAAGAAUAAGCAGACAGAAUAAGGAUGGCUAAAGGCUACAGUUUCAUUCUUAGGUGAUGAAAUGUUCUAAAAGUGACAGUGGUGAUGGUUGUACACAUCUGUGAAUAUGCUAAAACCCACUGAAUUGUACACUUUCAAUGAGUAAAUUGGUAACUGGUGUGUGAAUUACAUCUUAGAGUUGUUACCAAAUAUCAAUGCCCAAAUAGAGUAUUGAAGGUGUGUCCAUUGACGCCAAUUUUCUGCUGGAUUUUUUUUUUAACUAACUGUUUAACAUACUAUAGUGGGUAUGGUAUGAAUUUGCAUCCAUCAAGAUCUGGUACAUUCAGUAUCAUUUUACUUCAUUUUUUCUGAAAUGAAAGCCCAUUUGCCAGAGAACUGAAAUGUUGAAUUACAGUCAUAAUCAGGACUUCCUCCCCUUCUAUAGGGCUGACGGUGGUACAGAUCUAUACGAGAUGCAGGGGUCUUCUGCAGUCUAGAGCAUCAGGAAGGGCCCUCUGGUCUCACUAUACUAGUUAACCCUAAAAGAGCCACAGUAUAACCCAGCGCAAGCUAAGGUCCUCCAAGGAAAGGUGGUUCUGUGACUUCCCUGCCCUGCUGGAGAUUGGAGAAUUUUGUGGAGGCUGGAGGUGCCUGGGGCCCAGCAGCCAUUUCUUUUUGAGCUCUUUCUGCUUCUUGGGGCACCAUGAGGCAACGGGGCAAGGCUCUUCCUCUUCAUGGAAUAUGCAAACUACUAACCAGUUCCUAGACAUGGAAAAAUCUCCUUCUCUGUCAGGGUCUACUCUUUCAACUCUCUACCUUGAAGUACUUUUCUCCACCUUUUUCCAUUCUGCGGGAUGUCUGC